rnacentral:rRNA from 1 species
AUACGUAGGGGGCGAGCGUUGUCCGGAAUUAUUGGGCGUAAAGCGCGCGUAGGCGGCUGGUUAAGUCCUGUGUGAAAGACCACGGCUCAACCGUGGGGGUGCACGGGAAACUGGCCGGCUUGAGUGCAGGAGAGGGGAGCGGAAUUCCCGGUGUAGCGGUGGAAUGCGCAGAGAUCGGGAGGAACACCAGUGGCGAAGGCGGCUCCCUGGCCUGUAACUGACGCUGAGGCGCGAAAGCGUGGGGAGCGAACAGGAUUAGAUACCCUGGUAGUCCACGCCGUAAACGAUGAGUGCUAGGUGUUGGGGGCGUCAGGCCCUCUGUGCCGAAGGUAACCCAAUAAGCACUCCGCCUGGGGAGUACGGCCGCAAGGCUGAA